rnacentral:rRNA from 1 species
UACGUAGGGACCAAGCGUUGUUCGGAUUUACUGGGCGUAAAGGGCGCGUAGGCGGCGUGUUAAGUCAGCUGUGAAAUCUCCGAGCUUAACUCGGAACGGUCAGCUGAUACUGAUGUGCUAGAGUGCAGAAGGGGCAAUCGGAAUUCUUGGUGUAGCGGUGAAAUGCGUAGAUAUCAGGAGGAACACCGAUGGCGAAGGCAGGUCUCUGGGCUGACACUGACGCUCAUGCACGAAAGCGUGGGGAGCAAACAGG